CACAAGAAUCUACAGGUCGAGCAAGUCUCGUAAAUUUCACGAUUGCGAGCCACGCUUCACGCAACCGUGUUUGCGUACUUGUGUUUCGAGUUGCGUGGUCGUGCGGAGUUAUAUUUACCAAAUUUAAAUAUAAUCGUUUCUACUGAUUCAUACGCUGUCAAAAUUAAAUCAAUAUGGCUACUGGGUGUAAAAGAUAAAUCUUAUUCUAUCUGUUCUUAAUGAGUUUUAGAUAAUUUUAGUUGUAUUUCUUUGUAAUUUUGUGUUGUACAAAGAUUAAUUUAACAUUUUCUCUGGAAGUAUUAAUUUAGAAAGAUAAUAUGCUUCAUUGGUGUUGUGUUUUGAAGUGUGAAAUGCAAAGUAAUUGUGAUAAAGUCAAGAUAAAGUUCACUUUUAAACUGAACUAAAUAAGGUAUCUGAGAGACAACAAUGGUUAAAUGCAAUACAAUGUACAGGUUUUACUAGCGAAAUGAAAAUUUUCCUGUCCUGUCUGCUGUAAUCAUUUUAUAUCUGGAAAACCAGCCGACUUAAUCGAUAAUAACAAUCUCCAGAAAUAUUCAUAUUGAAAUUAUUUAUAAGGCACUGGACUGUCUUAAAUUCUACAAUAAUACUAGAAUCAGCUGAGAGAAGUGGUCUACAAAAAACCAGGAAGGAAACGGAAUAUGUGGCUACGAAAGGCAAAAGAAAGGUUUACAAAGCAAAUGUGACACAUUUUUUUGAAAUAUUUAGGAAUAUCAGUAAAUUGCAUUAAAAAAAUGUAUGAAAAGAUUUUGUUCAAUAAAAAUGUUUAUAUUUAUCAAGGAUGUAUUAUUUGGUAUGGCCACAUAUCGUCAGUGAUGUAAUAAUACAUCCUAUCUGUUUUUUCAUGAGUUUUGUAAGAGAGACUAAAAACUUGUCUUAGGGUCACCUCCUGUUUUCAUAUGAUAUUUUUUGACUUGUUUUGUAGUAAAUUAAACUAUCUAUGAACUACAAAACAAGUCAAAACUUACAUAUGAACACAGGAGGUGACCUUAAAACAUGUUUUUCCAUCUCUCAUACAAAACUCAUGAAAAAACAGAUAGGAGGUAUUGUCACAUCAGCAAGGAUGUACAGUGAUGAGUGCCCUAAUAACCGGCAAAAUAUGGGCAACAUAUUUAGUUGUGAGAUAAAAAGAAAUGAAACUAGUUGAGCUGGGAAAUUUAGCGAAAUUAACCUUUAAAUUUACGUUAUAUUGAUCCCACCUUUACACAUAUCGGAGGAGUAUGUCAACUAAAACUGUCACUGUGACAGUGGUAGUUUCCAAACUCGUCUGAUACAUCUGAAGGUGGUACAAAAUCAAUACAAUCUAAAUGUAUAAGUUAAUAGGUUUGUUCGUAGAACGAUCAGCAACCGUUGCCAACCAUCAGACACAUGCGCGUUC